rnacentral:rRNA from 1 species
CCUACGGGCGGCUGCAGUAGGGAAUAUUGGGCAAUGGACGAAAGUCUGACCCAGCCAUGCCGCGUGCAGGAUGACUGCCCUAUGGGUUGUAAACUGCUUUUCUCUGGGAAGAAACACUCAUACGUGUAUGAACUUGACGGUACCAUAGGAAUAAGGAUCGGCUAACUCCGUGCCAGCAGCCGCGGUAAUACGGAGGAUCCAAGCGUUGUCCGGUUUCAUGGGGUUUUAGGGGUGCGUAUACGGACUACGUGAAAUCUUUCGGCUCAACCGUAAAAUUGCCUUUGAAACUGGUAGUCUUGAGUUCGGUCGAGGUGGAUGGAAUGUGUCAUGUAGCGGUGAAAUGCUUAGAUAUGACCCAGAACACCAAUUGCGAAGGCAGUUCACUAGACCGAGACUGACGCUGAGGCACGAAAGCGUGGGGAGCGAACAGGAUUAGAUACCCCAGUAGUC